rnacentral:rRNA from 1 species
CCUACGGGAGGCAGCAGUGGGGAAUAUUGGACAAUGGGCGAAAGCCUGAUCCAGCAAUGCCGCGUGAGUGAUGAAGGCCUUAGGGUUGUAAAGCUCUUUUACUAGGGAUGAUAAUGACAGUACCUAGAGAAUAAGCCCCGGCUAACUCCGUGCCAGCAGCCGCGGUAAUACGGAGGGGGCUAGCGUUGUUCGGAAUUACUGGGCGUAAAGAGUACGUAGGCGGUUAUUCAAGUCAGAGGUGAAAGCCUGGAGCUCAACUCCAGAACUGCCUUUGAAACUAGAUAGCUAGAAUCAUGGAGAGGUUAGUGGAAUUCCGAGUGUAGAGGUGAAAUUCGUAGAUAUUCGGAAGAACACCAGUGGCGAAGGCGACUAACUGGACAUGUAUUGACGCUGAGGUACGAAAGCGUGGGGAGCAAACAGGAUUAGAUACCCUGGUAGUCCACGCCGUAAACGAUGAUAACUAGCUGUUCGGGCUCUCAGAGCUUGAGUGGCGCAGCUACGCAUUAAGUUAUCCGUCCGUGGGAGGUACGGUCGCGAGAAUUAAACUAACAAAUAGAAGUUAGUACGGCGUGAGACGUGCCGACGGACGACGACGAGGGAGGUUAGG